UAAUUUAGCUAGGGGUGCCUUUAGGCUGAGAGAUGUUUGUGCAUUAACCCUUUAACCUGAUCUAGAUAAUUCUAGCGUAGGGAAGCAGUUUACUUUAACU
rnacentral:ncRNA from 2 species